UUGACCUGGUAGACGAAAUUCGGCAGUCCGGAAAACUCGUAAUCCGGACGGUUUGGACUGGGAACGAAGGUGUUCGGAUUAUCGAGGGUCCACUGUACAUAUUACACGUUUUCAUUUUCGGGAUAUAUUUUGCUGUACACUGCUCCCUUUUAUUCAGCAUUAUUCUAGUUUGUGUUUCAAUGGAUUUUUGAGUAUAAUUAUUUGAGGAUAAAUCUAUUUGAGAAUGCAAUGUGUAUGAUAAUCUUGUGUUGUGUAGACACCAUCCCGACUGUACAGACGAUUUCAGUUUAAAGAAUAGUAAUGUAAUAGGAGUGAGCUGUAAUCAGUUAAAUGGCCUGGUUUGCAUGUUUUCUAGUCUAUUAUGAGAACACUUAUGAUUUGGUCAGUUUUGUGUUGUUUUUACUUGACGGACAAAUGUCCAGCGAUAGGCAAUGUAAUUACACAAUGUCUUUUGCAUGGUGAAAACAGGGGUGUAUUGUAAAAAUAAAUUAAAUGACAUCUCUGAGCAUGUCAGGGAUAUAUUUAUCAAUUAUUAGAAUAUGUUUCACAUCCCAACAUCUAUUUCUCACUUGAUGAAAUGUAGCUUUAUCAAAUUUAUGUAACAUUGUUGAGUUAUAUUUCCACAGAGCAAUGAUUCAGUGCUCCAUAAGGUCAUUAUUGUACUAUAUAUUUUACUUGUACAAUGUAUUUAUAAUUCACAAAUUUUAGUUGAAGUGCAAAUUUAGCAAAAAUAAAAAACCCACAAAAUAUAACCGCUAUACAGUACACAUGAGGUAUUAUUAAUGUACGUGGCUGGCUGGCUGUCAGGGAAGUGAAAGGUCUGUUUAAUCUGAUUAAAAUCAGAGUAAGGCUAGCUGUGAUAGGGGACGGUGCUAUUGAGGUAUUAAUGUACGUGGCUGGCUGGCUGUCAGAGGAGUGAAGGAUCUGUUUAAUCUGAUAAAAUUCAGAGUAAGACUUGCUGUGAUAGGGGACGGUGCUAUUCACUGUACAUAUGAUGAACUUCAGAACAAUGUAAUUAUGAACUUUAGUUAGAAAUAAUUUUAACUUUACAGUGCUUUUAAUCAAAUACGUAAUGAUAAUGAGGGAUUUCCUCAUUAUACCUGUUUUUGUCACCAUUGGUCAGUAAGAAGGAGGGACAUAUUAAAUGAAUCAUUAGUUAUUCUGAUGCUCUUUAACUAUGUAAGGCUGGACUUGAUUUAGGGCUUCUGAACGAAGUCUGAUGAUUUCUCUACAUCUAUAAUAUGAUUGGUUCGCAGAUUAUGGAGUUAGGUACGACAUCAGUCUGCCUAUAAAUUGUCUGUUUUUGUUUGCGAUUUGAUUGGUGUACAUAUUCUGAACUUUGAACUAUUUGCAAUGAAACCUGACUUUAUCAACACCUGAAUUUAAAGACAUCCUGUAUAAUGACAUUAUUUUAUUGUUGAUAAAUCAAGAUUCUGCUAUUAUGAUUAAGAACGCACAAGACAUGAUGUAAAUUCUGCUAUAAGAUUAAGAAUGCACAAGACAUGAUGUAAAUUCUGCUUUAAGAUUAAGAACGCACAAGACAUGAUGUAAAAAGUCCUAACAUUCCACUUCCAUACAUUGUGUAUUGCCUGUGCUCAUCUUUAUAGUUCAAGAACAAAAAUAAAAAUUUGUGAACAAUUUGAUUUAAAUCAUAUUUGUUAUACCAACAAUGAGUAUGUGGUGAAUUAUCAAAUGAAGCGUAUAAAGAUGAUUUCUUGAACUUGUAUUUCAUUAAAACAGGUUAAUUAAGACCAGCUGGUUGAUAUGUUGAAGCUUGUUUAUAUUUACUUAAAGAUGUUAUCCAAAAGUAUCAUUGUUAGUUUAAGAUGGGCUCUUUGUAUUCAAGAUGACAUGAAAUAGAUUUCUUUUUCUCUUAGCAUUCCCUGCCUAAAUGUAUUCCAGAAAACAAUACUGUUAUAUUCUAUUGUGCUUUGUUUGAUAUUUUAUGUAUGAUAUUGAUGUUUUAUCUUAUUGAGUUUACUUUGAUUUUAAAUACCACAUUGUUGCCACUCGAUAAUGAUGUACUAUUAGGUUUACAAACAUGUACAUGUACUCUUUAAACUUCUUGCUAUUUUCAAAAGGCAUUAUUUUUGUGAAUUUGUAGCUCAAAAUUAAUAAAACUCACUCACAGAAAUUUUAUCUGGAUAAUAUUUUGACCAAUAUUUUUUUUUUCUUUUUUCUUUUUUUUUUUUUUUUGGGGGGGGGGGGGGGUCAUUUGAUCAGUUAUUUGAAUAUGAAUACAUCUGCAUGAUUUUAAUUGAUAAAACACAAUUUCUUAAAAAAAAAAGAAUCAAUAAUUCAUCAAGAUUCAUGUUCAUUUAUGAGUAUGCCAAAUGUAUUUUAAACACAUUGUAUAUGCACAGAACAGUACAGUAAUGGUGAAAAUUUGACCUGUGAUUAUCUAAUUAAAUAAUUUGAACUAGGACAGAAUAAUGAAAAUAAACACCCAUGGAAUUUUGUAUUUGAUAGAUACAUAAUAGUACAUAGGUACAUAUGUAGUCUAGUCCUGACUUUUAGUUAUCAUAUAUAGAACCACCAGAACAAAUCGCCUUGUCUGUCAAAUACUGUGCCUGGAAAAUUUGUACAUCUGUCAAACAUAAAUUUUAUUUUAUUUUGUAUGAUUUAGAUUAACUUGUUAGGAAAUGACAUUCAUUUGUAUCAUUUAUUUGAUGUUACAAUGCACAAUGCUUUGUAUGCUUAAACUUUUUAAAAUUCUGACGACCCUAACACUGCCUUCUAGAACAGACACUGGCCUCCCUGUCCAUGUAUAACAUAAUUACAUCACUUGUAUCUAUCUUAUGUAUCUAAUAUGUAGGUCAGGUAUACUUAUACAUUGUAUAAAUGUAGGUCAGGUAUACUUAUACAUUGUAUAAAUGUAGGUCAGGUAUACUUAUACGUUGUAUAAAUGAAGAGUUACAUGUUGAGAUAUAUUUUCCUCAAGUGCAAUUUCUGAUAUUAAUGGAUUUGUUUGCUAAAAUCCAAUUAGACAUAAAUAUGGAUAUAUAAAUUUGUGUAAUCCAUAAAUUUCUGAUAUUACCGGGUAAUGUGGAGUUAUCAAGACCAGUUUCUUCAAUGUUUUUGUGAUAAAUCAUAAUAUUACAGAAAUGACUAUCCUUUUAUUAAUGAAUGCGCAAAUACUGUAACAGUCAAAAUCAAAGAUUACCUGGGAUUUAUCAAAUUAUGAUAACAAUAUAUGAUAGGAAAGAAAGGUUACUAGCAGGUCUGACCUGAUACCAAAUUCUGCUACUAUAAGGAUAUUAUGUAGUACUGGUAUUUAUGUAAUGGUUCAUAUAAAUCUCAUGUUUUCUAAUAAGGAUAUAGAAUUAUUUUUCAAGAAAAAAAAUGGCUCUAUUGAAUUCAGUGCUGUGUACAUUUUUGGGUAAAUUAUAUGAACAUUGUAUACAAACACAUCAUGGUCUUUGUAGUAGAUAAUUGUGUAACUACUCAUUAAAUUGUUAAUGAAAUAUGUUACAAAUAGCAAAGUGAUAUAGAAUGAGAAAUAAAACUAUCAGUAGAAGUUCAAUUUUUUUUUUUUUAAUUCCAGGGUAUGUUCUACUCGUGACAUGUAAAAAUAUUACAGGGCGAAUUCACACAACCUGAAAAUAUACAUUAAAUAACAAACACAGCAUUGAAUGAAAAUUGUAAACAAUGAAUAUUGUGAAAUCUUGAUGGAUUUACCACAUACCAGUAUACAUGAAAAACAACAAAAGGACUUUGCUGCAUGGCCUUACUAUCGGUCGGUGAAAGAUGUCUGUGUAGGCAGAAAGGCCUUGUGGAAAAAGGUCUGAAAAACCUAUGAAGCUAGAAAGGCCUUGCAGAAAAGUCCUGAAUAUUUGUUUUUAUUUGUUGUUUUUUUUAUACAUAUAUUUUCCUUCCCAAGGAAUCAUUUUUUCCUAGUAUAUAAGUAUAUGAUGUUUGAUUUCAUUUGCAUGUACACAUUAUACAAAUGUUGGUGAUAAUAAAUUAUUUGUAAUUACUACAGUGCAAUGCCUAAAGUAGUUGUUAUUUCUGCUAGACUUAUUUGUUAUAAGUCACUACUAUUGUGUUUUUUUUAAAGCCACACGUUGUGGUACAGACUAAAAUUACCAUGGCCAGAAAAUUGUGUUUAUAAACGAUCCCAUUGUCGGUUUUAGACUCUUCUCUGUUGUCAGAGCAGAAUCUCGAUGAUUUCCAAUAGUGUAUUUGACCAUGGUGACAUGGAACUGGUCAAGAUACUUUAGUAUUUAUGCCCCAUGAGCAACAAUGAGGACCAUCAUUUCUAUGCCGUUUGUUAUUUGAUUGACAAUAUUAUAGUCUGCAAGGGUUGUGGUUUGAUUUUUCAAUUACUGACCCAUUUUUUGUUAUUUUAGGAAAUUUUGUUGAAUUUUUGUUAUUUUAAGCUUACCCGAGGUCGUGUAGUCUGCUCCCUGAAAACCAGAAUUUACCUCUAGUGUAUUCCGUCUCCUGAGCCCUGUUAAAAUUCAUUAUAUAUUAUUCGAUGUCUACGAUAUAGGAUUCGGACAUAACAGACAUUGGAUCUCCUUAAUUGUUAUUUGAUGAAUAAAGCUACACUUUUAAAACUGCAUGUCAGAAAGUGGUAUCUCUCAAUUACUUUACAGGUAACGAUAAGUUAUGUAACUUUAUGCAAAACUGAAUAUACGUAAUUACAAUGUACAUAGACCUUUCAUUAUUUCAUGCAGAUGAUGAUGCAAAUAAUCAAAAUAUUGUCGUUGAUGCUAGGAUAGAUAUAAUUGGUUCAAUCUGUGAAAUGAAUGAUUUGAUUGUUAUAGAUGCGCCAUAUAAACUAAAUAUGAACACAUACGUCUUUGUAAUUGUCUCUGUGAAGUCUUUGUAAAUGUAUCCAUGAAUAUGGAUGUCAUUAUUCUUUAUUGAAUAAACUUGGGAUAUUCAUAUCAAG